AGAGUUUGAUCAUGGCUCAGAACGAACGCUGGCGGCGUGCUUAACACAUGCAAGUCGAACGUGAACGUCCCUUCGGGGAUUAGUAAAGUGGCGUACGGGUGAGUAACGCGUGGAUAAUCUGCCCUUGAGCGGGGGACAACAUCUCGAAAGGGGUGCUAAUACCGCAUAACCCGGUAGGGACCCAGGUCCCGGCCGGCAAAGAUGGCCUCUGCUUGCAAGCUAUCACUCAAGGAGGAGUCCGCGUCCCAUUAGGUAGUUGGUGGGGUAACGGCCUACCAAGCCCACGAUGGGUAGCCGGCCUGAGAGGGUGAACGGCCACACUGGCACUGAGACACGGGCCAGACUCCUACGGGAGGCAGCAGUGAGGAAUUUUGGGCAAUGGGCGAAAGCCUGACCCAGCGACGCCGCGUGGGUGAUGAAGGCCUUCGGGUCGUAAAGCCCUGUGAGCUGGGAGGAAGCCCGAUCGGGUUAAUACCCCGAAAGGGUGACAGUACCAGCAGAGGAAGCCCCGGCUAACUACGUGCCAGCAGCCGCGGUAAAACGUAGGGGGCAAGCGUUGUUCGGAAUUACUGGGCGUAAAGCGCGUGUAGGCGGUCUGCUAAGUUGGGAGUGAAAGCCCUCGGCUCAACCGGGGAAUUGCUCUCGAAACUGGCGGGCUUGAGUACGGGAGGGGAGAGCAGAAUUCCCGGUGUAGCGGUGAAAUGCGUAGAUAUCGGGAGGAAUACCGGUGGCGAAGGCGGCUCUCUGGACCGUUACUGACGCUGAGACGCGAAAGCGUGGGGAGCAAACAGGAUUAGAUACCCUGGUAGUCCACGCCCUAAACGAUGGGUACUUGGCGUGGGGAGUUACAAUCUUCCCGUGCCGGAGUUAACGCAUUAA
rnacentral:rRNA from 1 species